UCAUCCCUAAACAUGAUCUAUUGAUAUUGAUUCAAUGAUCCCUAUAAUGGGCUAUUGUGAAUUUAUUAUUAUUAAGAACACACAAAUGAUUAAUACAUUAGUACAUUUAUUUAAUAUGUAUAUACUGGAUAUGUAAAUAUUUUUUACAGUAAAUUAUUCACUGUUGAUUUAUUAACUACCAUUGAUACAAAUCAAUGAUGGAUAAUAUGUUGAUAGUGUAAAAAAAUUAUACUGUCAAUGCACAGAUUUUAAAUUUUUAGUACAUUAGUAGCCAUACAUUUUAUUCUCAAUUAAAAGGUGUUAUUUGACAAUACUCACAACCCCAUUAAUGAUAGUGAACAUUCAAUAGCUUAUAUUGUAAGAAAUGAAAACCAAAUAAAAACUAUUGCCAUACAACAUGAUAAACCCAAAUGACUGGACUUUAUAAUCUUAUUAAUUUAUAUACUUAUAAUUAAUAAAAGUUUCUCGCCUCUUUUGUUGGGUCAUAGUAGAAUGGUUCGGCUGGAUUUUGCCACUUCUUAAAAUCUACUUUUUCUUGAUCCUCGCUCAAACGACUCGGUGGCAGUGGUUCCUCUACUUUCACGUCAAGUGGUGGUGGUGGUGAUGACAAUGCUAUGGGUGACAAUAGAGGGAUUAUGAGUUUCCGAUUCAUAUUGUGGUUAAUUUGCAAUGAGGGUGGAGCACGAGUUUGCAUCUUGCUCGACUGAUGUCGAUGGGUCUCAAAAUUGGAUUUUCUUUUUUUAGCAUUUUCCAUAGAUAUCAAUGACGGCAAAGAGAAAUGGUGAAAGCGAAAAGGAGAGAGAAAGGAAGAGUUUGAUGUAGUGAGAGAUAAUGGUGGGUGUG
rnacentral:lncRNA from 1 species